rnacentral:lncRNA from 1 species
CUGGCUUAUGUCCAAGCAAAUCGUUGCUGCAGAGAGGUUAUUAGACCAUGGAGACAUGAAGAUUUAAACACAUAUAUUAAAUUAUGUAGAGAUAUUAAUGAACAAGGGCAAGUCUUGGCAGCUGCAGUACAACAGGCUUUAGAUGACAGGCCAAAAACAUGCUACAAUUGUGAACAAACAGGACAUUUUAAAAGGAAUUGCCCCAUAGGAGGUGGGUUUAACAAAAGUAGGUAUCAAAGGAAUAGAAUACUGGGUAUUUGCCCACAAUGCCGUAGAGGGAGACAUUGGGCUAAUGAAUGCCGUUCUCAAACCACCAUAGAGGGUACUCCCUUAUCAAAAAACGGAUAUCGUGGAGAAAGGCAUCAGGCUCCAUUGCCAAAAAACGGACAGGGGGGCCCAAUGCUCCGGGGCCCACAACCACAAAUCUACGGGACAGUGGAGGAACCCAGCAACACCUCAUGAAACUAAAAGGCUUCCGCACAGCAAAGGGAACAGCCAACCUUAGGAAAAGACAAGCCGUGGGAAGUAUCUGCAAACUAUACACGUGUCAAAGAGUCAGUGCACGCCUGUAGUCCCAGCGGCUCAGGAGGCUGAGGCAGGAGGAUCACGAAUUCAAAGUUAGCCUCAGCAAUGGCGAGGUGCUAAGCAACCAGUGAGACCCUGUCUCUAAAUAAAAAUACAAAACAGAGCUGGGGAUGUGGCUCAGUGGUCGAGUGCUUGCCUACCAUGUGUGAGGCCCUGGGUUUGAUCCCCAGCACUUGAAAAAUAAAAUUUGCAAAGGACUUGAAUAAAUUUU